rnacentral:rRNA from 1 species
AUGAACGCUGGCGGCGUGUCUAAUACAUGCAAGUCGAGCGAACGGACGAGAAGCUUGCUUUUCUGAUGUUAGCGGCGGACGGGUGAGUAACACGUGGAUAACCUACCUAUAAGACUGGGAUAACUUCGGGAAACCGGAGCUAAUACCGGAUAAUAUUUUGAACCGCAUGGUCCAAAAGUGAAAGACGGUCUUGCUGUCACUUAUAGAUGGAUCCGCGCUGCAUUAGCUAGUUGGUAAGGUAACGGCUUACCAAGGCAACGAUGCAUAGCCGACCUGAGAGGGUGAUCGGCCACACUGGAACUGAGACACGGUCCAGACUCCUACGGGAGGCAGCAGUAGGGAAUCUUCCGCAAUGGGCGAAAGCCUGACGGAGCAACGCCGCGUGAGUGAUGAAGGUCUUCGGAUCGUAAAACUCUGUUAUUAGGGAAGAACAUAUGUGUAAGUAACUGUGCACAUCUUGACGGUACCUAAUCAGAAAGCCACGGCUAACUACGUG